UACAGAGGGGGCAAGCGUUAUUCGGAAUUAUUGGGCGUAAAGGGCGCGUAGGCGGCGAUUCAAGUGACGGGUGAAAUCCCUCGGCUUAACCGAGGAACUGCCUGUCAGACUGGAUUGCUUGAGUCCGGGAGAGGCGAGUGGAAUCCCAGUGUAGCGGUGAAAUGCGUAGAUAAUUGGGAGGAACACCAGUGGCGAAGGGCGGCUCGCUGGACCGGGAACUGG
rnacentral:rRNA from 1 species